rnacentral:rRNA from 1 species
GGAAAGGCGCGCGAUACAGGGUGACAGCCCCGUACACAAAAAUGCACAUGCUGUGAGCUCGAUGAGUAGGGCGGGACACGUGGUAUCCUGUCUGAAUAUGGGGGGACCAUCCUCCAAGGCUAAAUACUCCUGACUGACCGAUAGUGAACCAGUACCGUGAGGGAAAGGCGAAAAGAACCCCGGCGAGGGGAGUGAAAAAGAACCUGAAACCGUGUACGUACAAGCAGUGGGAGCACGCUUAGGCGUGUGACUGCGUACCUUUUGUAUAAUGGGUCAGCGACUUAUAUUCUGUAGCAAGGUUAACCGAAUAGGGGAGCCGAAGGGAAACCGAGUCUUAACUGGGCGUUAAGUUGCAGGGUAUAGACCCGAAACCCGGUGAUCUAGCCAUGGGCAGGUUGAAGGUUGGGUAACACUAACUGGAGGACCGAACCGACUAAUGUUGAAAAAUUAGCGGAUGACUUGUGGCUGGGGGUGAAAGGCCAAUCAAACCGGGAGAUAGCUGGUUCUCCCCGAAAGCUAUUUAGGUAGCGCCUCGUGAAUUCAUCUCCGGGGGUAGAGCACUGUUUCGGCAAGGGGGUCAUCCCGACUUACCAACCCGAUGCAAACUGCGAAUACCGGAGAAUGUUAUCACGGGAGACACACGGCGGGUGCUAACGUCCGUCGUGAAGAGGGAAACAACCCAGACCGCCAGCUAAGGUCCCAAAGUCAUGGUUAAGUGGGAAACGAUGUGGGAAGGCCCAGACAGCCAGGAUGUUGGCUUAGAAGCAGCCAUCAUUUAAAGAAAGCGUAAUAGCUCACUGGUCGAGUCGGCCUGCGCGGAAGAUGUAACGGGGCUAAACCAUGCACCGAAGCUGCGGCAGCGACACUAU